GACGAACGCUGGCGGCGUGCCUAAUACAUGCAAGUCGAGCGAACAGACGAGGAGCUUGCUCCUCUGACGUUAGCGGCGGACGGGUGAGUAACACGUGGAUAACCUACCUAUAAGACUGGGAUAACUUCGGGAAACCGGAGCUAAUACCGGAUAAUAUAUUGAUCCGCAUGGUUCAAUAGUGAAAGACGGUUUUGCUGUCACUUCUAGAUGGAUCCGCGCCGCAUUAGCUAGUUGGUAAGGUAACGGCUUACCAAGGCAACGAUGCGUAGCCGACCUGAGAGGGUGAUCGGCCACACUGGAGCUGAGACACGGUCCAGACUCCUACGGGAGGCAGCAGUAUGGAAUCUUCCGCAAUGGGGGAAAGCCUGACGGAGCAGCGGCGCGUGAGUGAUGAAGGUCUUCGGAUCGGAAAACUCUGUUAUUAGGGAAGAACAAAUGUGUAAGUAACUAUGCACGUCUUGACGGUACCUAAUCAGAAAGCCACGGCUAACUACGUG
rnacentral:rRNA from 1 species